CCACUCUGUACAUGGUGUCUACCCUGUCU
rnacentral:piRNA from 1 species